rnacentral:rRNA from 1 species
GGGGAAUCUUGCGCAAUGCGCGAAAGCGUGACGCAGCAACACCGCGUGAGGGAAGACGGCCUUAGGGUUGUAAACCUCUUUCAGAUGGGACGAAGGUCAUCCGGUGAAUAGCCGAGGUGAUUGACGGUACCGUCAGAAGAAGCUCCGGCUAACUACGUGCCAGCAGCCGCGGUAAUACGUAGGGAGCGAGCGUUGUCCGGAAUCAUUGGGCGUAAAGAGCAUGUAGGUGGAUCAAUAAGUCUGCUGUGAAAGUCGAAGGCUCAACCUUCGAAAGCCGGUGGAUACUGUUGAUCUAGAGUACGGAAGAGGCGAGUGGAAUUCCUGGUGUAGCGGUGGAAUGCGCAGAUAUCAGGAGGAACACCAAUAGCGAAGGCAGCUCGCUGGGACGUUACUGACACUGAGAUGCGAAAGCGUGGGGAGCAAAC